CUCUGACUUUUUCGGCCCCUCUGCCUUCACUGUGGUGGUCGCCGUCCUCCCUUGGGAAUGCAGCUGCCUUUUCCGUACGGUGUGGCGUUACCCCCCUCACUCUCCCUUUGUCCUCUCCGCCUUUGCUUCGCAGCCGCGACGCCAUCGCCGUCCUCCCUCGAGAAUGCAACCGCCUUCUCCCGUACGGUGCGGCGUUACCCCCCUCGCUGUCCCUUCGUCCUCUCCGCCUUCGCUUCGCAGCCGUGUCGCCAUGUGGUAUGGCGCCUCUCCUCCUUCUCUCGCCAGUGUUGCCUGUCUCGUCCGACUUCCCGUACAAACGGGAGGGUGGCGUUGUGCCGUUGGCAGUGAGGGCCGCAUCUUUUCCUCUGCCGCACGUGUUCGGCUGUAUAGUCUGGCGUGGCUUCUCCCUAUGGUUUGUGGUCAGCAGGGAUUAAAGAGCAUUAAUGCAAGGUAUAUACAACGGCAUGCUUUUCCCUAUUCUGUUGUCCUCCGCGAUCGCAGCCCACCUCCCAUAGGGCAUGGCGCUCGCGUGCUCUCUCUCACUCUCUCUCCCUCCUAUGUAUGGUUUUCUGUCUGUACUCUUACUCUGAUUUCUUCUCUCUCACUGUGCUCUGCUUACUUUUCCUCUCUCUGGUUAUUAUAGAUACUAAAGAGUUUGGUGUUUUUUUUGUCUGUCCAUUUCUAAUUCCCCCUGAUUUUGAACCCCCUGUUUUUGAGCACUGUUGCUCUGUCGUUCUUGCCUUGUGGUGGUUUCGAGUGUUGCAGCAGAUCGAUAGGUAAAAACAAGCGUUCGGAUGCUUCGUGAUUUCUCUCCCCCCUCCCUUUUUUAGUCAUCCUAUAUUUACUCUUAUACUUUUUUUUUCCUGCAUGUUGGUGUGUUUGAUUUUGUGCCGGUCUGCACGUCUGUGGCAAUAUGCACUUCUUUUUCAACAUGAUUUUUUAACUUCUUUACCCUCUACUUGCAUAUCUACAAAAUCUGCAAACUGUUGAGGCUUUGAGCUAGAAUUUUCUGUGAGCUGUUUGGCAUUUUGAUAUUCCAAGUUUAGCUCUGCUCGAGUUUUUGCUUAUAUGUAUAUAUAUGUGUAUAAUGCAUAUAUGCUUUCCUUUAUUUCUUACAACAAACUUUUUGGGAAGUUUGCUUGCAGCCUUGUUUUGUUUUAGAACUUGACUCUAAACAGGUUUUUACUUAACUCUGCUGCAUUACCCCUAAAAAGUAUGAUCAAUUGAACAAAGUAAAAGAAAAUAGGUAAUGUGGUAUUGCAAAGAUUCGCUAAUUGAAUAUUUUGAGGUAGACAUUAGGUUUUAGUUUGGUGUUUAGGUUUCGAUUUAUCAAAAAGAGGGUUGGUUUGUAUAAGGAACACUGAAGUUUGUAUAAAUCUGAGUUGUUUUUAUACAAAAUGUCAUGAGAAACACUGAAGGUUUUUUACACUGGAGUUAUAUUCUCAAGAUUAUAGAAGGCUGAGAAUUGGUAGAGAAGGCUGGGAAUUGAUGUAAUAUCAUGAUUGUGCUUGCCUCUGCACUUACAUGAGCUAAAUUAGAGAAGCUGGGAAUUUCGAGAGAUUUUUUGCAAAAAAUUGCCUGCUACUGUCUUCUCCAGUUUUGCCUACUAUUGGCUUUGGGGCAGUGAGAAUAGAAAAAAAUGAGCUAUGAGUUUUGGAUGGUCCAAUUUCUAGGCAACCAACUCUUGGAGCUCAUUGUAUCCCCUUUAGGUACAUGUAUCCUGUAACUUUUCGGGUCUUUAGAUCACUAAGUUUGCACACUUUGCCACCAGAGAGAAAAGGAGUUAAUAUCGUGAACAUCUCUUAACUCGCUUGAUGUUUUGAUACUGAGCAGUGAUGUAAUUAUAAAUGCUAUGACACUUGCUUGCUUUACAAACUGAUGUUGCUUGCAGAAUUGUAAGCGAUUAUUAUUCCAUUUAGGCGUGGCGCAUUGUUGGUGCUGACUGUUGUUGCUUGACUAUUGCAUCAGACCCAAAUGAGCUGUACUAAUGACGCUGCAUUUCGAUCCUGUGACUAAAUCUUUGCUACCUCUAUUUCAUGUAGUUGCAUGGUCUUUGUUGCCUGUCGCUUUCCGAUACUAAUAAUUUGUGUGCUGAUCAAUAGUAUAGUGACUGGCGAUGAGAACUUGAAUGCUGCUUGAACAAACUUUAUGUGAACUCGGUGCCGGUGAUGAUGACGGUCUCUAUUAAUGUUUGAAGGAUGGCAUAACUUGCAAAAGUUGUGCAACCCCAUAUUAAUUGGAAACCAAAUGAGCCAUACUACUAAUGGCACUCCAUUUUGAUCCUACAACUAAGUAAUAAUUGGACUAAUCUCUGCUGCUUAUCUUUGUUGUGUCUUUACCUUUCAAUUUGUUUUAGCCUUUUGGCCAUCUACAAUGGCUUACCGUCAAAUGCCGAUCACAAUCUUAUGUGAAUAAGGUUGUCAUGUGCUGACGAUAGACCAUUUGGACGAGAUAUACGACAAUUGCGUAAUUUGUAUACAUGCACCAGAUGCUAUAAAGAUUUUGGGAACUCAAGCAACAUACGACGAAAUUAGAAUACUCAGUGCAUUUCAGUUUGUAAACAGUGACAUAUAUCUUCAUCACGACAAAACUUUAAUGCCGCAAAAUCCAUCAGCAUGGAGUGCUUUGAAUUUUCUCGGAACCACACAAAAUGGUGUUUGUGUCACAUAUUGGCUGAAUGUGCUUCAGGCAUGUCGUAUUCUCUAUGCAAAACUUCUUUGAGAUUUUGCAUACAUAUAUCCCUGCAAAA